CAGGGAAUAUUGCACAAUGGGCGAAAGCCUGAUGCAGCGACGCCGCGUGAGGGAUGAAGGCCUUCGGGUUGUAAACCUCUUUCAGGAGGGACGAAGCGAAAGUGACGGUACCUCCAGAAGAAGCCCCGGCCAACUACGUGCCAGCAGCCGCGGUAAUACGUAGGGGGCGAACGUUGUCCGGAUUUAUUGGGCGUAAAGAGCUCGUAGGCGGCUCAGCAAGUCGGCCGUGAAAGCCUGAGGCUCAACCUCAGGAGGCCGGUCGAAACUGCUGUGGCUAGGGUCCGGUAGAGGAGAGUGGAAUUCCCGGUGUAGCGGUGAAAUGCGCAGAUAUCGGGAGGAACACCAGUAGCGAAGGCGGCUCUCUGGGCCGGUACCGACGCUGAGGAGCGAAAGCUAGGGGAGCAAACAGGAUUAGAUACCCCCGUAGUCC
rnacentral:rRNA from 1 species